rnacentral:rRNA from 1 species
CCUACGGGAGGCAGCAGUGAGGAAUAUUGGUCAAUGGACGAGAGUCUGAACCAGCCAAGUAGCGUGAAGGAUGACUGCCCUAUGGGUUGUAAACUUCUUUUAUAUGGGAAUAAAAUGUUCCACGUGUGGGAUUUUGUAUGUACCAUAUGAAUAAGGAUCGGCUAACUCCGUGCCAGCAGCCGCGGUAAUACGGAGGAUCCGAGCGUUAUCCGGAUUUAUUGGGUUUAAAGGGAGCGUAGGUGGAUUGUUAAGUCAGUUGUGAAAGUUUGCGGCUCAACCGUAAAAUUGCAGUUGAAACUGGCAGUCUUGAGUACAGUAGAGGUGGGCGGAAUUCGUGGUGUAGCGGUGAAAUGCUUAGAUAUCACGAAGAACUCCGAUUGCGAACGCAGUUCACUGGACUGCAACUGACACUGAGGCUCGAAAGUGUGGGUAUCAAACAGGAUUAGAUACCCCUGUAGUC